GGGAGAGGCUUGCCAAGAAACAAGGACUGCUAAUCCAAGUACCCCCGGUUGGAUUCCGGGGCUCCCCCA
rnacentral:tRNA from 1 species